GAUGGACGCUGGCGGCGUGCCUAAUACAUGCAAGUCGAGCGAACAGACGAGGAGCUUGCUCCUCUGACGUUAGCGGCGGACGGGUGAGUAACACGUGGAUAACCUACCUAUAAGACUGGGAUAACUUCGGGAAACCGGAGCUAAUACCGGAUAAUAUAUUGAACCGCAUGGUUCAAUAGUGAAAGACGGUUUUGCUGUCACUUAUAGAUGGAUCCGCGCCGCAUUAGCUAGUUGGUAAGGUAACGGCUUACCAAGGCAACGAUGCGUAGCCGACCUGAGAGGGUGAUCGGCCACACUGGAACUGAGACACGGUCCAGACUCCUACGGGAGGCAGCAGUAGGGAAUCUUCCGCAAUGCGCGAAGGCUUGACGGAGCAACGCCGCGUGAGUGAUGAAGGUCUUCGGAUCGUAAAACUCUGUUAUUAGGGAAGAACAAAUGUGUAAGUAACUAUGCACGUCUUGACGGUACCUAAUCAGAAAGCCACGGCUAACUACGUG
rnacentral:rRNA from 1 species